GUCCAAAAUACAGUGAUUUUAUCUUUUCCAAGCACAUGUCUGAUUGCUCUAUGUGGAAAAUUACUCUUGCAAGUGAUUAUGGGGUAUUUUUGUG
ensembl:snoRNA